rnacentral:rRNA from 1 species
CCUACGGGAGGCAGCAGUGAGGAAUAUUGGUCAAUGGGCGAGAGCCUGAACCAGCCAAGUCGCGUGAAGGAUGACGGCCCUACGGGUUGUAAACUUCUGUUGUCAGGGAGCAAUUGGGUCCACGCGUGGGCUUAGCGAGAGUACCUGAAGAAAAAGCAUCGGCUAACUCCGUGACAGCAGCCGCGGUAAUACGGAGGAUGCGCGCGUUAUCCGGAUUUAUUUGGUUUAACGGGUGCGUAGGCGGAAUAUCAAGUCAGCGGUAAAAAUUCGGGGCUGAACCCCGUCGUGCCGUUGAAACUGAUGUUCUUGAGUGGGCGAGAAGUAUGCGGAAUUCGUGGUGUAGCGGUGAAAUGCAUAGAUAUCACGCAGAACUCCGAUUGCGAAGGCAGCAUACCGGCGCCCAACUGACGCUGAAGCACGAAAGCGUGGGUAUCGAACAGGAUUAGAUACCCCAGUAGUC